GAUAGAACUACUUUCCCCAGGUCAGUACCCUCACUUCUUUCCUGGGAAGACGUAUCAUUUUCUCAUCAUCCUUCCAGCUAAAUUUAGGACUCCUGUUUUUCUUGUUAGGAUUCUGAUCCAUUCUUCCCAUCCCCACUCAUGUGAACUCUCAAGUUCUUUCUGACUACUCUCAUAAUGGCCAUCUCUUUGGUACUAAGAGCCACUGGCCAAACUAGAUUUCUUUUUUCUCCCCAUACUUCAAAGACCCCUGUUCCAGCUAGCCCUCUCCUACUUAGAGGGCCAAUCACUUUGGCCUUUAUUCCAUUUUUCCUUCUAAGUCUCUAGUCCCUGUCACUCCAAGACUCCCACUACCUGUCACCCAGUGGAUCAGAUACAUUAUUUCUGGCUGACUUUUUUAGAGGGUUACCCUGCCUUCUCACGUCUUCACCAUUCAGAAGCAACCUCAUCAGUCCACCUCAAACUCUCUGUCCUCUUCCGAGAAGACAGCUUAAGUGCAUGGAGGUGCAGACUGUACCACACAUUCACCCUAGUCAGGUUUGAUAGCUUUUUGGUUCCAGAGGAGUACCAAGAGAAAAAAGAAAACAGGGUUGAAGCAGCGUUCCUGAUGCAGGCUGGCACGUGGGAGGCAGGGCCGUGGGCUGCUCUCUUGGCUGGAGCAGGUGGAUUAGAAAGCCUGUCUAGCACAAGGGGCCAAAAGCCUUGUCAGUGGUCAGUAGCUCUGCUGCUGUCUUUCUGGAUGGGGGCCACCAGCUGACACCCUGGAAAUCUGGACCAUAGACUACCUUCUGCUCCUGCAACCUGUAGCCAACCCAAUAGGGGGCGGACAUGAGUGGGGAGCUCGAAGCUAUGACAGUAGUGAUGCUGGAAGGCAAAGGGGGCCCAGCAUGGAUUGGUGUGUUUAAGGUAAUGGGGACUGGAGAAGUGCGAGUUAGCCGCCUGCAGUGAAGAUGACGAAUCAUUGGCUCUCUUUGAAGCAUUUUCCAUGGAAAAACUACUUGUCUGGGCUGUCUUUUCACAAAACCGCUAUUUCUGACCCUCAGGGUAUGGUACCAGUUCAACUUUUAGAAUACUUGUCUAGACAGGAGUCCUCACCGGGAUCUGCAGUUGCUCCGGAAAGACUCUCUGGGUCUUUGGUGGGCGUUACCUUGUAAGCAUUGCUUCAUAUGCAAAUUCUGGACCCUCGGGUUUGCUCUACACCAGACCAUGCCUCCAGGCCCAUAGGAUGCCAGCAAAAGAAAACAUCUUGUCUUCUCUCUGCCUGCCCAAGC
rnacentral:lncRNA from 1 species